rnacentral:rRNA from 1 species
GCAAGUCGAGCGGUAACAGGUGUAGCAAUACAUGCUGACGAGCGGCGAACGGGUGAGUAAUGCUUCGGAAUCUGCCCAAUGGUGGGGAAUAACCAUCCGAAAGGAUGGCUAAUACCGCAUGAGCCCUACGGGGGAAAGCAGGGGAUCGCAAGACCUUGCGCCGAUGGAUGAGCCGAAGCCGGAUUAGCUAGUUGGUAGGGUAACGGCCUACCAAGGCGACGAUCCGUAGCUGGUCUGAGAGGACGACCAGCCACACUGGGACUGAGACACGGCCCAGACUCCUACGGGAGGCAGCAGUGGGGAAUAUUGGACAAUGGGGGAAACCCUGAUCCAGCGACGCCGCGUGUGUGAAGAAGGCCUGCGGGUUGUAAAGCACUUUUAGUGGGGAUGAAAAGCUCAGGGUUAACACCUCUGGGUCUUGACCUAACCCACAGAAAAAGCACCGGCUAACUCUGUGCCAGCAGCCGCGGUAAUACAGAGGGUGCAAGCGUUAAUCGGAAUUACUGGGCGUAAAGCGUGCGUAGACGGUUAGGUAAGUCGGGUGUGAAAGCCCCGGGCUCAACCUGGGAAUUGCAUUCGAGACUGCAUAGCUAGGGUGCGGAAGAGGGAAGCGGAAUUUCCGGUGUAGCG